rnacentral:ncRNA from 2 species
CUGCGUUAGGGAUUGAAGCGAUAUCCUUUUUUGUUUUUAUAAAAAAGAUUUAGCGAAAAGCCCGACCACGC